CCACUUCUUAGUCUCUACCCAUACCCGAAUCUUUUCCUCACUCCUCUAGCCUAUCUCCUCGUCACUCUUCAUUUAUUCUUAUAACCAAGGCCAUUCCUCUAUCUUCUCUAUCCUUCUUUUACACCAUAUUCCUUCCUAUACAACCACCACCAUCCUUUUUUUUCUUCUUUUUUUAUCACUAUUUUUCUCUCUGUUUACUAGGGUACAAGCAAAAUUUUUAAGUUUAGUAUUAUUUUGGUUGAGCAAGCUCUACACAAAAGGAAUGGCACCCAAGUCUCAAUCCUCCUUAUCAAAGAAGAGAAAAGAAAAGGAACCUACUGCUCCCUCACAUGAUACAAUACAGUUUCUCUCCAAAUUUUAUGAGAACCAUUUCUACAAUUUAACAAGUAAAAAGAAGGUCAUUCCUGAAGUGCCUUUUGAUCUGAAACAUUGAUGUCUGGGAUCAAAUCUCUAGCUAUAUUCUUGUGAUGCAACCGUGUCAAGGAGAGGCUUGGGUAAUUAGAUCCGCGGGGUGCUCUGUCACCCGAUAACUUGGGUCAACUAACUCGGGAUUAUCGAUCGAAAGCCCAUAAUCAAGAGUUGUCUUGAGACGAAGCACUAAGGGUUAAACAAUGGAAAUAUCUCUCUCUGUGAAAAGAAACAAAAGAAAAGGUUCAAAGAUCAACCAAAAACUAAGAAAAGAGAUCUCAUAAUAUCAUCCAAACUUGAGUUUUUGAGAAUUGUUGCUCUCGAGACUUCAAGAGUUAUUAAGAAAGAAAAGUCGGUCUAUGAUCACAAGGCCACUAAACCCAUUGUUAAUAUGGACAUGAACUUUAAGAGAUUUAAUUAUUCUUCAUUGAAUUCAAUUAUUUUCUUUUAUUUUUUGCUUGAGGACAAGUAAAGUCUCAAAUUUGGUGUUGUGAUGUAUCCACAUCUUUAGUGGUUUUUCACUUAGAAUUUCAUUCAACAAGUUAACUAUUCUUUUUUUUAAGCAAUUAUUACUUCAUAGUUUAGCGAAUAUUACUUUGAGUUGUUUUGAAUUCUUUGAUUAUAGGAGAUUGUGAAAGAAAGUUAGAAAAGACCAAGGAUGGAGAGAGGCAAGCAAGAGUAAUACUAGAAGCAAGGAAUGGAGAGAGCCAAACAGAGAAGUUCUGCUCAACACACCAUGCAAACAGAGAAGUUCCUGGACCAAAUAGAGAAACCCCUAGACCAAGCAGAGAGUUGUGCAUUCAACGCACCAAUCUUUGUGUCCAAUGCAAGCCAAGCAGUGACUCCCAGGGAUGCCAAGACACCCAUGCGUCUAACGCACCAAAGCAUGCGUUCAACACACCACUUCAAUACACCCUCCAGUAGCUAACCAGCUUCCAUGCGUUCAAUGUGGGCAGCCAUGCGGCUAAUGUAUCAGGCCAUGCGUCCAACUUGCCACUCCAUGUCAACGCACCAUCCAAUUACACUUCCAGGAGCUGCUCAUCCUCUAUGCAUUCAACUCAAGCUUUCAUGCGUUCAACGUGGCUGAAACAUAGGCUCAAGGGUCUCAAAUCUUGGGCAUGCGUUCAACUCACUCUCCAUGUGUUGAACGUACCUCUUGGGCCAACCUCUAGGGCUUCCUAAGUCCUUUACUAAUCUCUCCACACCUCUAAGCACUUGAUGAGAUGAUUAAAGAUUAAACCAACUUGGAUUGGUCGAGUGGUUAGCUCACUCGUCCGCUUAAGCAAGUGUCGGGAGUUCGAACCCCGCCUUGUGUAUACAGCAACUCAUUAGUCA
rnacentral:lncRNA from 1 species